GUAAGUUGUAGUAAAGUAGAGUUAGGGGAACCUGGCUCUA
rnacentral:rRNA from 1 species